AACGAACGCUGGCGGCAGGCCUAACACAUGCAAGUCGAGCGAGACCUUCGGGUCUAGCGGCGGACGGGUUAGUAACGCGUGGGAACGUGCCCUUCUCUGCGGAAUAGCCACUGGAAACGGUGAGUAAUACCGCAUACGCCCUUCGGGGAAGGAUUUAUCGGAGAAGGAUCGGCCCGCGUUAGAUUAGAUAGUUGGUGGGGUAACGGCCUACCAAGUCUACGAUCUAUAGCUGGUUUUAGAGGAUGAUCAGCAACACUGGGACUGAGACACGGCCCAGACUCCUACGGGAGGCAGCAGUGGGGAAUCUUAGACAAUGGGCGCAAGCCUGAUCUAGCCAUGCCGCGUGUGUGAUGAAGGUCUUAGGAUCGUAAAGCACUUUCGCCAGGGAUGAUAAUGACAGUACCUGGUAAAGAAGUCCCGGCUAACUCCGUG
rnacentral:rRNA from 1 species